rnacentral:rRNA from 1 species
GACGAACGCUGGCGGCGUGCUUAACACAUGCAAGUCGAACGGAAAGGCCCUGCUUUUGCGGGGUGCUCGAGUGGCGAACGGGUGAGUAACACGUGAGUAACCUGCCCUUGACUGUGGGAUAACUUCAGGAAACAGGGGCUAAUACCGGAUAGGAGCUCCUGCUGCAUGGUGGGGGUUGGAAAGUGUCGGCGGUGGGAGAUGGACUCGCGGCUUAUCAGCUUGUUGGUGGAGUAGGGGCUGACCAAGGCUUUGAAGGAUAGCCGGCAUGGGAGGGUGACCGGCGACAUUGGGACUGAGAUACGGCCCAGACUCCUACGGGAGGCAGCAGUGGGGAAUAUUGCAGAAUGGGCGGAAGCCUGAUGCAGCAGCGCCGCGUGCGGGAUGACGGCCUUCGGGUUGUAAACCGCUUUCGCCUGUGACGAAGCGUGAGUGACGGUAAUGGGUAAAGAAGCACCGGCUAACUACGUG